rnacentral:lncRNA from 1 species
CCCCCCCUUUAUGAAAAGUUCUGGAUCUGCCACUGGAAGGCUAUCUUGGAAACCAUUUAUAAUUAUAGAUUACCCUCUGAUGAUAUAUUGAUUUUAUGCAAAAUAGAAAUAUAUGACAAAAGAAAAUCUAAGUAAUACAAAGUAUAAAGACUUGCAUGUAAGUGAUUUUGUUAUCUUAUGAUUAUAAAGCUAAAUUAGCUGAUGAAUCACAUACUUGCAGAGGCGGAUUUAGGAAGGGGGCCCUGGGGGCCCAGGCCCCCCCUUUUAGGGAAAAAAAUUGGUUGCUUAUAUAGGGAAUCAUUGAAGCGUGACUGAAGCGGGCCCCCUCUUAGGUCAGUCAGUGGGCCCCCACUUAUGAAAAUUUCUGGAUCCGCCACUGACUUGAAUAUAUUUAGCACAAUGAGCACAUGCAUAUUAGGAAUCAAUGUAAUAAUGUUAGAAUAAUUAAUUGUAUGGAACAAUUUUGUAAAAUAUACAAAGCACAUUGUAUUAGGUGAAAAAAUACUGCAAAUCACAAAAAAGGUAUCAAAAUGGGAAAAUGUAAUUUAACACUAUUUCUGACAAGCUUGCAAAAAACAUGGUACUAUUCUCCAUGAAUCUUCAAAUCAAAAUUAUAUUUCACAUUGUAACAUUCAAGAAAAUGGUAAACAUUAUUGUGUUAACUAUAAUUACAAAUAUGAGAUGAAUAAAGCUGAAAAAGUGAUUUUUAAGGAAAGUAAUAACCUGAGGAUAGAGAAUUUUCAAUAAUGUAAUUACUUGUACAGUUUUCUCUCCAGGAACUUUUAGCAUCAUUGUAAUGUGAUGCUAUAUAUCUGAAUGUGAUGCUAUAUUUCUGAAUGUGAUGCUAUAUUUCUGAAUGUGAUGCUAUCUGAAUUGAUUUCUUAUAGAUUGUGUUAUGGAUGUGAUGUUAUAAUUUUUUGAAAUAUGAUGGUAUUUCAAUUUUCCUUUUUAACCAGGAUGCUAUAUGAAAUAUCUGGUGAAAACACUGCUUGUAUAUCUUUUGAUUUCAACAAAAACAAAGGAGAAGAAAUGUCAAGAUUUUUUUGUUUAUGAUUGGGUUUCAGAGGCGGAUUUAGAGGGUUUUUCAGGGGGCCUGCCUCCCUCUUUUCUGGGAAAAAAUUGGUUGAUUAUAUAGGGAAUCACUGAAGCAUGACUGGAGUGGGCCCCCUCUUAGGCCCCCACUUAUAAAAAUAUUCUGGAUCUGCCACUGGGUUUAAAGUAUUUCUUUGCAUGACAUAUAACACUUAGAAUGUAGUGGAUUUCAUUUCAUACCAUACUACAUCUAUGUACUUGUAUCAUCAUAAUAACAAAAUUAUAAAAAAAAUAAUCUGAUUAUCAGACUGUGAUACUUUCAUGUUUUUCACUAACAAUAGUACCCAGCAAUUCAAAACUGAUCAUCACUGGGAAGUUUCCUAUCUAGCACAGGAAGAUUUUCAACAAAGUUGUAACACCAUCUUAAAUGUUAUAGUCAUACUAACAUUUAUAAUUCGUAAAAGCAAUUGUGCAUGCUCUUUUGACAUGUGCACACCUUUUCAUAAUUUGAGGAAGACUAUACAAUACUGUUAUUUUUUUAAGUUUCUGAAGCACAAUAAUUUAAAUGGUUGUUUCAGAAUUC